rnacentral:snoRNA from 1 species
AGCCUUUGGUUCCCUUUCUCAUCAGUUUCAACACUGGUCUUGGUGGUAAAGGAGGAAGAGUCCUGAAGCUGCCUCCCCACCCUGUAGUCUGGCAUUGACAUGCAGGCUGAAUUCAAACAGGG